rnacentral:rRNA from 1 species
UACGAAGGGGGCUAGCGUUGCUCGGAAUCACUGGGCGUAAAGCGCACGUAGGCGGCUUUUUAAGUCAGAGGUGAAAUCCUGGAGCUCAACUCCAGAACUGCCUUUGAUACUGAGGAUCUUGAGUUCGGGAGAGGUGAGUGGAACUGCGAGUGUAGAGGUGAAAUUCGUAGAUAUUCGCAAGAACACCAGUGGCGAAGGCGGCUCACUGGCCCGAUACUGACGCUGAGGCACGAAAAGCGUGGGGAGCAAACAGGG